UCUUUUCAUUUUCAUUUGAUUCCAAGAAUUUUUAUCAAAUGACCCAUUCAUUCUUCAGUAAUGUGUUGUUUUACCUUAAUGUGUUGCAUUGUGAAGGCUGGCCUCAUUCCAUCACUUUUCUUCAUGUUUCCUUGAAAACGCUAGUUCCAGUCCAGUUUUCACCUUGUUCAAUAUCCCAAGGUUCUGAUUCAUCAGUCUCUCCUAGGUGAACGCUGCUUGCUUAUUAUCUGACCCAGCCUAUAAUCCUAUGACACUUGCUCUGAGUUUCCCUGGAGGAUGCUUCACAGGGGUUGUAAAGAAGCACUCUACCACUGUGGUACCUCUCCAUCCCUGCAGUAGGUCCCCCUUGGGUCUCCAUAGUUGUACAUAAGGAGAGAGUUGUGCCUUCAAGCUCUUCAGUACUGCCCUCCUGUCAUCAAACUGGGGACCAAAAUGUGGAUCUGAAAUACAACUGUAUCUGUUUCUAAAUGCUGCAUCUCAUUUUGUUUGAAGCUUGCUUGAUUCCUACAUUGUCCUUUGAGUAUAUACCAUGUACCAGGUGCUGAGAAGUGCUGGGUUACAAAACUUCACUUGAGUGAGAGGUUCAGAGAAUCAGAGCCCAGGUAGGGAGACACUACUUAAUUAUUCUGUAGCCAGAUAGAUAGAGCAGUAUAAUGUGCAAUAUGGAAAGUCUGAGCAGACACAGACGUGUUGGGCAUAUAAUGAUGUGUGUCUUAUCACAAUAUGUAGAUGCACCUACUUUAUUUGCAUAGUAUAAAUGCAUCAUGAAACCUUUUCUCUGUUGGAUACUGUUGGGUAUCUAUGCCUCCUUUUGCCUGUUUCUUUUGUCUUUAUUAUAUGCCAAGGCAUGAUGAGCUUUAAUGUGUUCAUCGAUAGCAAUGCUGGGAUCCAAUUCAUGAAAUAAUCUAGACUGUUUUAGGAAGGGAGUUCUUCUUACCAAAACUAGCAAGAGGGCUGUGGAACUUCAUGAAAAAGUGUCCUUCUGUCUAAUUAGCUGUUUUUCCUCAAAUAGUUCCAUGAUUGUAUUAGUGCAGAUAUUUUUUAGCAGUUGGCUCAGUGAUACUUUGUUUCUAAAUUCCAAAGUAUUUCCUAAGUUUUUGUUUGUUCAUAAUUUUAUUAACAUUUCACCAGGAGGCAGAAUGGGGAUGCAGGAGCUGCUGUUGGUUCUUGGUGUUCGUUUAUCUGGUCAUCCUUGGCUUAGGCAGUGCCUUCCCUGAAGCUUUACUAGGGUGCUUUUCAAUAUGUCUUUCCUCAAUAUGUUUUAUCCCUCGCUCUCUCCAUCCCUAUCCUCCCCUCCCCUCUCUUUCUUAUUCUCCCCCUCCCUACUCCUUCCCAUUUCAUCAUUUCUUAUUGUAAGGCCUCAUACUUGUCAUGUUCCUCCCUCUGCCUCCAGAUGUUCACUGCUGCGAUUUCAGGCUGGGAUCCAGCCCCUCACACAUUUCUUUUCAUCAUGAAACUGUCAGUCACCUCCUGGGAGCACUGACCACCUCCUCUGCCCCAGGAUCCUGGAGUUGGGAAGCAGGGCUAAGAUCUC